rnacentral:lncRNA from 1 species
UGAAAUCAAAAUAUAAUGUACUUAUUUUCCCCAGUUGAUUUAACCUACUCAAUAAUGUGUAGCAUUUACUGAUACAGAAGGGCAGAAUAUGAUUAAAAAAUAUAUGUAUGUCUGUGCACUAGGUGUGUGCCUAGUGCCCCCAGAAGGCAAAGGGCAUCAGAUACCCUGGGUCUGUAGUUACAGAUGGUAACAGGCUGCAGUAUGGGUCCUGGCACUGGAACCCAGGUCCCCUGGGAGAACAGCCAGAGCCAUCUCUCUAGAGCCUUCCUCGGUUUUUCACUCUUUUUACUGGGGGAAAGAGGAAGCUAAGGAUCAAAUCCAGGCAGUUUUCUGACAUUUUGUUUUAAAGUAAAAUUCCCACGAAGAAUCAAAUACAUUUUUAAAUAAAUGUCAAUAACAAGCAAUUAAAUCUCAGCAGUCAGUUCAUUGUUACAGCAUUCCUAAACAUGGUGCUGAAUACUCUUUGUAUGGCAAACGAGAACAAGGGUUUUAAAAAUUGUAAUGUUUAGACUGGUGGAGUUCCACUGAGCAUUUCACUGAACACCUUGGGGUAUGGACUUUCCAAAAAUAUUUCUAAGAAAAGUGGCAAAGCAUUUUAUACUAAGGAUGCCCAACACUAGGCAUGAAUACAACUGUAUUUGGAAACAGCAAUAAUAAUAUGGCACUCGGUUAGUUCACCACAGAGCGCAGAUACUCUGGACAAUGCAAAACCUCCACUUCCAUGAAAGGGCUUGGCGGUUAAUAGGCACUCUUAUUACAAAGCAUGAUUUUUGAGGACAUAACCUGAAGAUGAUAAUUUGUCACAUACAAGUGCUGGUCAGAGAUAUAAAGUAUGCCCACAUUAAAAUCAGCCACGUGAUACUGGUGGCCUGGUGGUAAUGAUGUACAACUGAGUCACUUCAGACCAGAUGAACAACUCAACAUUUUUCCCAAGGAUAAACUGUAGGGAAAGAUGAAGGAUGGAGGCGAUAGUAAGGGAGAGAGAUGUCACAAAAGGCUGAUGAGAAUGCUGGAAGUAAGUGAGCAAAAGGCAUCACUAUUCAGCCAGUUGAAGACUGAGAUGUCUGUGGAACAAAAUCUCAGGCUGGCUUUCUCUGAGAAAGAGGUAGAGGGGUAACGUAUCAGCAAUAUAGUCAGAGGUCGCCUCAUAAGCUCACCGAUUGUCUCUUCACAGACAUAGGAACACAUCUGCGGGAGGACGAUGUUCUAACAGAGAGAACGAUGCACGGUAAAACACUCAGACGGACUCUGACAGAUGUACAACAAUUUCUAUGAGCUACAUUAUGCAUGGCUGACUGCUAGUGUGACUGGUAUCUGAAGCACACAAAAGAAAACAUUUCCAAUCUGUAUCAUAUUUUUCACUGGGAGUGUUCUAAGGUGUGGGGGCUGGCAAGAUGGCUCAGUGGUUAAGAGCGCUGACUGCUCUUCCGAAGGUCCGGAAUUCAAAUCCCAGCAACCACAUGGUGGCUCACAACCAUCCAUAAUGAAACCUGAUGCCCUCUUCUGGAGUGUCUGAGGACAGCUACAGUGUACUUACAUAUAAUAAAUAAAUUUUUAAAGAAAAAAAAUUGGUGUGGUCAAUUUGUUCUUAUAUACUUAUAAUUAAGCCUGGCCAGAGACAUUGUUACAAUUAAAAGGUGUAUGUAGAGUCCUUAAGACACAAUUUAACCCUGAGCCUUCUACAAGCAAGGAUAGUGGUGUAAGGGUCUGACUAGCUUUGUCACAGACAGGAACUUGGUUCUUCAGUCUCUGGUGUUUGAAAGCAG